GAUCCCGCCGGAGGUCACUGCUAUCGGGGUUCGACUAAGCCAUGCGAGUCGAGAGGUGCAAGACCUCGGCGUACUGCUCAGUAACACGUGGAUAAUCUACCCUGAGGAGAGGGAUAACCCCGGGAAACUGGGGAUAAUACCUCAUAGGUUACGGAGGCUGGAAUGCCCUGUAACCCAAAGCUCCGGCGCCUCAGGAUGAGUCUGCGGCCGAUUAGGUUGUUGUUGGGGUAACGGCCCUACAAGCCGAUAAUCGGUACGGGUUGUGGGAGCAAGAGCCCGGAGAUGGAUUCUGAGACAUGAAUCCAGGCCCUACGGGGCGCAGCAGGCGCGAAAACUUUACAAUGCGAGCAAUCGUGAUAAGGGAACCCCGAGUGCCUGUACACGCAGGCUGUUCAGAUGUCUAAAACACAUCUGGAGAAAGGGCCGGGCAAGACCGGUGCCAGCCGCCGCGGUAAUACCGGCGGCUCGAGUGGUGGCCACUAUUACUGGGCUUAAAGCGUCCGUAGCUGGGUUGUUAAGUCUCCUGAGAAAUCUGCCGGCUUAACCGUCAGGCGUUCAGGAGAUACUGGCAAUCUCGGGACUGGGGGAGGUGAGAGGUACUCCGGGGGUAGGAGUGAAAUCCUGUAAUCCUCGGGGGACCACCUGUGGCGAAGGCGUCUCACCAGAACAGCUCCGACAGUGAGGGACGAAAGCUGGGGGAGCAAACCGGAUUAGAUACCUGGGUAGUCCCAGCUGUAAACGAUGCGCGUUAGGUGUGUCGGUAACCACGAGUUACCGAGGUGCCGUAGGGAAACUGCUAAACGCGCCGCCUGGGAAGUACGGUCGCAAGGCUGAAACUUAAAGGAAUUGGCGGGGGAGCACCACAACGGGUGGAGCCUGCGGUUUAAUUGGAUUCAACGCCGGG
rnacentral:rRNA from 1 species